CUCUGCGCCAGGGACGGAUUUGAAGGAUUUUAUACAAACCACUCCCUAAGGGCUACAACGGCCACACGCCUGUAUGAGAGCGGUUUGGAUGAGCAGCUGAUUGCCGAAGGGACAGGUCACAGAUCGACAGCUAUUCGUGCGUACACGAGAACAAGCGAGGGCAUGUUAAAGAUUGUUGAUGAUGUUGUCCAGAGGAAAACACAAGCAAUUGCCACGGCAACUAGCUCGCCAACACCUCACGUCUCCGACACCACUGACCCCAAGAGACGUCAAGACGCCAACUGUUCAAAUGCUAAAACUGUACACUUCGUUGUUGAACGGGACGGUGCAAGAGUGACAUUUGACAUGUAAUAAAGGGAUGAAAACAU